rnacentral:rRNA from 1 species
UACGUAGGCAGCGAGCGUUGUUCGGAGUUACUGGGCGUAAAGGGUGUGUAGGCGGCUCCCUAAGUUUGGUGUGAAAUCUCCCGGCUCAACCGGGAGGGUGCGCCGAAAACUGGGGGGGCUAGAGUGCGGGAUGGGAAAGUGGAAUUCCUGGUGUAGCGGUGAAAUGCGUAGAUAUCAGGAGGAACACCGGUGGUGUAGACGGCUUUCUGGACCGUAACUGACGCUGAGACACGAAAGCGUGGGUAGCAAACAGG